rnacentral:rRNA from 1 species
AUACGUAGGGGGCGAGCGUUGUCCGGAAUUAUUGGGCGUAAAGGGUUCGCAGGCGGCCAAAUAAGUCAGAUGUGAAAUCCCACGGCUUAACCGUGGUAAGCAUUUGAAACUGUAUGGCUUGAGUUAAGGAGAGGAAAGUGGAAUUCCUAGUGUAGCGGUGAAAUGCGUAGAUAUUAGGAAGAAUACCAGUGGCGAAGGCGACUUUCUGGACUUAUACUGACGCUGAGGAACGAAAGCGUGGGGAGCAAACAGGAUUAGAUACCCUGGUAGUCCACGCCGUAAACGAUGAGUGCUAGGUGCCGGGUGUCAAAGCUCGGUGCCGGAGCUAACGCAUUAAGCACUCCGCCUGGGGAGUACGUACGCAAGUAUGAAACUCAAAUGAAUUGACGGGG